GACGAACGCUGGCGGCGUGCUUAACACAUGCAAGUCGAACGGAAAGGCCCUGCUUUCGUGGUGUGCUCGAGUGGCGAACGGGUGAGUAACACGUGUGUACCCUGCCCUUGAUUUUGGUAUACCUUCAGGAAAGUGGGGCUUAUAUCGGAUAGGAGAUCCUGCUGCAUGGUGGGUGUUGGAAAGUUUCGGCGGGUGGGGAUGGACUCGCGGUCUACCCGCUUGUUGGUGGGGUAGGGACUUACCAAGGCUUUGACGGGUAGCCGGCCUGAGAGGGUGACCGGCCACAGUGGGACUGAGAUACGGCCCAGACUCCUACGGGGGGCAGGAGUGGGGAAUUGUGCAAAAUGGGCGGAAGCCUGACGCAGCAGCGCCGCGUGCGAGAUGACGGCCUUCGGGUUGUAAACCGCUUGCGCCUGAGACGAAGCGUGAGUGACGGUAAUGGGAAAAGAAGCACCGGCUAACUACGUG
rnacentral:rRNA from 1 species